GUAGUGUCAUCGACAUAUUCAACCGCAUAUCCUGUCAAUUCCCCUAAAAAUCAUUCUACCCUAUAUAAAUAAGCAAAAUGGAUUGAAAU